UAUCACAUCGGUGCAAGAGGCAUCCUGAGAUGACUCCAGGGGAAGGGGACCGUUUUAGCUCACUGACAGAGUGUUGCCAUGGCUUUUGUCACACUGUGUGGCUAUGUUGGAGAAGCCCUUUAAAUGUCCCUUGGGCUCAGCUUCUUUGCUUUAACACAAGGGUGUGGCCUUGUUCUUUGUAACCCCAUUUAGGAAGCUCAGGCAUGGAAGACACCACGUGGCCUUGUAAAGUGUAUUUCUCUUCUACAUCAGGGUCAGCAAGGAUGCUCAGUGGGUAAAAGUGAUUGCUGUAGAAGACUGACAACCUGAGUCUUGCCCCGCAAACCAUGUAGAGGUGGAAGGAGAGACCUGACCCCACAAAGACGCCCUCUGACAUCCACAGUGUGAGGAGACAUGCUGCCCACCUGUCUUGUUAGUUUUUGAGACAAAACCUCUGGAAAGAAUUCAUCUUCAACACCGAAGAAAUCAAGGCAUGCUGUUUCAUUCCCUGAAAGCCCAGCACGUCAGUGGCUGAAGCAGGAGGAUUGCUGCAAAUUUGACACUAGACUGGCUUACAGAGACUGUUUCAAAACAAAACAAAACAAAACAAAACAAAACAAAACAAAACAAAACAAACAAACAAAACAAACCAGAAAACAAACAAAAACAAAGCAAACAUCAAAAAACAACCCCAAAUUCUGCAACCCUGAAGAUGAACUUCUACUUUGCAGAAACGGAAGCAGAACUGUACAUUAUAAUCUUCAUAUAUGCAUGUUGGUGUCGUUGCUGCAGAGGGAGGAAGGAUUUCUGUAAGGGUCUUCAGGAUAAACUCCAAAACCAGGAAUGUGCAAAAUGAGACCCCAGGGAUUCCCAAAUUGCCUCUCAUAUAACACAAGAGGACCCCAGAGGAGCACUGACUCCCUAGGAUCAAUGUGACUUGUGUAGGUGGGUGUCACUGGCAUUUGACAGGGUGAUGGGUGCCUCAGAUCGCAAUUGACAAAGGACAGCAUGUUUCCAGCUUGGUUUUCUGCUCUGGCAAGACGGCCCAUCUGGGAGUGUAGCUAACACGUGCAGGUUUGUUCUCUGUGCAGAGAAUUCAUAACUCAGACGGGGAAGGCCUGGAACACAGAGAGGCUUUAAGUCAGUCAAACCAUGGAAGGCAGAACUCACCGUUUCCAAUGGUUAAUGACUCGUGUGACAAUUCUCUCAGUGUGGGACAGUCUGACCUUUCAUUUUAGAGAGCAUAUAAUUAUUAAUAUUUUCUUCCAGGCAUCAACAGUCACCUCUUGUUCUAUUAAAUUAAAUUAAAAUUUUUGGUGUACUGAGCAUUGGGUCAUUAUCAAAUCAUAGAAGGACUGAGGCGGGCAGAUCUGGAGGUUUGAGCUUUCCCAUUAAGGGGGCGUGUCUAUCUCAUCAGACUUUGGGUAUCAGACAAACAUCAGAUUUUGAAGGCUGGCUCUUUUUAAAAUACAAGCCAGUUUUUUUUUUUUUCCUAAAUUGGUUUAAACUUUCAAUUUAUUCAUUUUAUUUGAGAUAGUUGCCCUGGCUGGCUUACAACUUACUAUGUAGUCCAGGCUGGCCUAAAAUAGAGAGAUUCACUUAUCUCUGCCUCCUGUGUGCUGGGAUUAAAGGUGUGCAUCGCCGCGUCUGGCAAUUUGUUUGGUUAUUAACUGUUGACAGGAUGCUCUGGUGUGUAUGAGUGGUUUGCCUACAUGUAUGUAUAUAUGUGUACAAUGUGCAUGCCUGGUGCCCUUGGAGCGGGGAGAAGGCUUUAUCUUCCUUGGAAUUGGAAUUGUGGAUAGUUGUGAGCUGCCAUUGAAGCCACAUCCUCUGCAAGAGAAGUAAAUGCUGCUUUUAACUGCAGACCCCUCUCCAUAGCUCCGCUCUGGGGCUUUUGUCCUUUGUGUUUUCUGAGACAGGGUCUGCUUUUCUUAUUACCAUGACAAAGUGCCUGGUGAAAAUUAGUUGGGGUGGGCUUGUGCUUUGAGGGGACACAGUCCAUCAGCACAGGGAAGUCAGGGAGGCAGGAAGACGAGGCAGUUCCCCCAUAGUCCAUUCGCAGUUGGAGUGUGGGGUGGGGCCAGGGGACACAACGUGAUGUACACUGACACAUCGCUCAUUUUCUUCUUUUGUAUUCAGACUGGAGUCUCAGCCCAAGGAAUGGUGCUGCCCCAGUUCAGGGUGGAUUUUCCUAUUCCAUUUAACCUAAUAUGGAAAAUUCCUCAUAUACCAGCCUUUCGGCUUAUCUCCUUGGUGAUUGUAGAAUCUUUCAAAUUGACAAUAUUAACCACUGAAGGGUUGAACUUCAGUCCAUGCCGGCAUGGAACUCACUAGGUAGCCGAGGCUAGCCUUGGAUGACAGUGAUCCUCCUGCCUCCUUUCUUCAAGUGCUGGGAUUACAGGCAUGAACCACCUUACCCAGCUCAGAGUUUGUUUUCUAAGAUGAACAGGGUCCUCUUGUCUUACUAAUGUGCCAUGGUGGAAACUGCUCGGACUUCCAGCUCAGCCCUGUGCAUCCUUCGGGUAUGUGGACCUGACUAACUGCCUUCCUGAGCCCCAGACUCAGUAUCAAUACAGCAAGGACGGUUUCCGUGUUGUUGAGAAGACUAAAGAAAUGGAGAAAGCUGCACCGUCCAUCCAAGUGUCCUGAGAUGGUGCCACACAUGUCUGCAACAGACACAGUUCCCAGUGGGAAGCACUAGUCCCUGCCACUGUGGGACUUACAUGCCCAUCAAGGCUGCCAGAAGAUGAAGGCCAUUUAUCCCACACCUCCACAGCACAAACCACAUAGAAUGACUGUCAUAGAAUGACUGUGUUAUCUCCUAAUGUACACGCUGAAGGACGCAUACCUGCACGGGAGAACCUGCUGACUCAGCUCAGUCUCCUUGACUAAGCACCUUGGGGUUUAACUGAAGUGGAGCCCCGCGUUCUUUAUUUAAACCCAGCUCUUGGGUUGUAGACCAUGGAAUGCGUGCAGUUCCAUUCUACGGUUUUUACAGAGAUGAAGCCAAGAGCCAGAGGUUGACUUCUUUGUAUAAUCUAUCCUUCCUUCCUUCCUUCCUUCCUUCCUUC